UGGAGAGCUUAAUAACGGGAUAUCAAACUUUUUGCAGUACAGUGGUGAGGGGAAUAGGCAGGUGGGUCUAUAUAAAUUGCUGUUUUACUCCAUCUGUUUUGCCUCUAUUCAGAAAUACUCAACUGCUUAUGUCUUGGUGAAUGUAGUGCUGCUUUUCACUUUGAUAUUCACACAUCCUCUUGAUCUCUUCUUCAAGUUUGGGAAUUCCAGAUGGCAUGGUUGUGCAAAGCUCUGAGGAAAUGAUAAAGUGGCUUAAGGGAAGCAAGAGAAGGCCAGCAUUGGUGUGGAGCAGUGGUCCAGCAUGAGACUACUUUUUGGGAGCAGGUGACCUUCAGAACCCAUCUUUGGAACAUUUACACAUUCCCUGGAGAUUCCUAAAUAUACAUGGUGUGACAACCUUAGUGGAAGACUGGAUUUCCUAUAGUUAAGCAAGGUGGUGGUUCUUGCCACAUUAAUUUGAGUAUAAAACAGGAAAUGUGACCUCAGUUUGUAGUUCGUUUUUAGGAGUAUCUAAAUACAAAAUAUGUGUUUUUAAUCUUGGCUCAUCUCAUAAAUAAAAAAUUAUUUAUCGAUUUAGUUUCUUUGACA
rnacentral:lncRNA from 12 species